GAUGAACGCUGGCGGCGUGCUUAACACAUGCAAGUCGAACGGACCCAUAUUGAAACCUAGUGAUAUAUGGGUUAGUGGCGGACGGGUGAGUAACGCGUGGGUAACCUGCCUUACACAGGGGGAUAACACUUAGAAAUAGGUGCUAAAACCGCAUAAGCGCACAGCUUCGCAUGAAGCGGUGUGAAAAACUCCGGUGGUGUAAGAUGGACCCGCGUCUGAUUAGCUUGUUGGCGGGGUAACGGCCCACCAAGGCGACGAUCAGUAGCCGGCCUGAGAGGGCGGACGGCCACAUUGGGACUGAGACACGGCCCAGACUCCUACGGGAGGCAGCAGUGGGGAAUAUUGCACAAUGGGGGAAACCCUGAUGCAGCGACGCCGCGUGAGUGAAGAAGUAAUUCGUUACGUAAAGCUCUAUCAGCAGGGAAGAAACACUGACCUUACGGUCAGCAGACGGUACCUGAGUAAGAAGCCCCGGCUAACUACGUGCCAGCAGCCGCGGUAAUAC
rnacentral:rRNA from 1 species